AUGAAAAGCCACUUCCACCACCUGUUCCAGUUUAUGAAAAACCUGUUCCACCACCUACACCGGUAUAUGAAAAGCCACUUCCACCACCUGUUCCUGUUUAUGAAAAACCUCUUCCCCCACCUACACCGGUCUAUGAAAAACCACUUCCACCGCCUACUCCAGUUUAUGAAAAACCUCAUCCUCCGCCUACACCUGUCUAUGAAAAGCCACUUCCACCGCCUGUUCCUGUUUAUGAAAAACCUCUUCCCCCACCUACACCGGUCUAUGAAAAACCACUUCCACCGCCUACUCCAGUUUAUGAAAAACCUCAUCCUCCGCCUACACCUGUCUAUGAAAAGCCACUUCCACCGCCUGUUCCUGUGUAUGUAAAGCCUAUUCCUCCACCUACUCCGAUCUAUGAAAAGCCACUUCCACCUCCUGUUCCGGUUUAUAAAAAACCUGUUCCUCCACCUACACCAGUCUAUGAAAAGCCACAUCCACCGCCUGUUUAUGAAAAGCCACUUCCACCUCCUGUGUAUGUAAAACCUAAGCCUCCACCAGUGCCAAUCUACAAAAAGCCACUUCCACCACCGGUUCCUGUUUACAAAAAACCUUGUCCUCCCCCUGUUCCUAUUUACAAGAAACCUAAUCCUCCACCAGUAUAUGAGAAGCCACUUCCACCACCAGUUCCUGUUUAUAAGAAACCUAAUCCUCCACCAGUGCCAGUCUACAAGAAGCCUCUUCCACCUCCUGUUCCCAUAUAUAAGAAACCCCUCCCUCCAC
rnacentral:lncRNA from 1 species